CAUCCACACGGGGUGGAAGGCGGCACCCAGCAAAUGCUAGCAAGUAACCGCUGGUCCUUGGAAAAGUAGCUAGUGGUAACAAGUAACCGUUACUGGUAAAAGCAACCUGCUGCUUACAAUCAACUGCAACAAAGUAACGGCUGCUAAUGACAAGUACCCAGCGGUACAGGAGAAGCAUGGCGGUGACCACAAGUAACGAGUGACCGGUGGGCACCGCCGCAGCCUCUGCUCAGACACGGCACGCAAACGCACACCUCAAGGCCCCUCCCAGGUGGCCGAGGUCGGCCCCGGGCACAGGAGCUCUGGCGAAGCUGGCGAACCGCCGCCUGGAAAUGAAAAUUCAGAGCGGCCACCGCAGCCCAGUGUGCCCGCCGUGGAUGGGAUGGCCUCCCCCGCUGCCUACUCUCAGGUUUAGGACACCAGAUGCUCUCCACACCCAAGGAGUCCAUCUCAAGGCUUCACCUACCUCCUGCGUCACAGACUCCAGCUGCACAGAGCCUGCCACCUGCCGCAGGUGAUGGAGCAUCCCGCAUGCCUGCACAUUUAGAAGCGAGCGUGUAGCGUGGUUCCUGUUGUCAUGCAUC